CCAUGUUCCUGGCGCUGCGUGUCCAACUGCUCCACCGGGGACGGAUGACGACACAUGACGUCACCCCACGAGGACCAUGGGAAAUGGCCUUGGGACUGCUGGGGCCAAUCCCAGCUGCAUUCAGGUGAAGGCGGGGGACAUCCUGGACAGGUUGCCAGACUGUUGCAGGGCCACACUCUCACAUUCACACCUUGCAGCUCUAUUAGGUACCUUAUUGGAUUAUUAAAAGGCAGUUAUGAUUCAAUUUUA